ensembl:lncRNA
AACCCAUCGCUCAAAGCUGCGUCACAUGAACCAGAUUCAGAAAUUUUCUCUCAUGUUGCCGUUCCCAAAACUAGUCAUGAUGUCUAUCGAGGCCAUACGUUACGAUUAUUUCACUUAACAAAAGUCUUCAUUCUUGAGCUCUCUUCAUAAACUUAAAUCCUAGCUAGAGAAUAAUAUUAGCUGACCAGCGAGCUAGAUAACAUAAUAUUAGGGUGGAUUGUGGCACAUGGUGAUUGAUUGAUUGGCAAAUUAGUAUAUAAUCAUUAGAUUAAAAAAAAAAUUAUUCAACAGUAGGCUAUUCGUGUACUUGGUUUUCUCAAGAAAACUGAAAAAUUAUUAAUGGACUGACCCUUGGAUAUAUGACGCACUGAAUACUCUUCUUUACCAUAUUAUGACAAUCUGUGUCUAUUUUAUAAAACGAGGGUUUUGAAUGUACAAGCCAAAUUAAAAAAAUUGACCCCGACUGUUUUCAGAGUACACGCACAUGACAAUCUACAUCAGCUAUUUCUCGAUCAGUGAAGGAAGUUAAGCCUUAUUUUGCUUGAUCCAGUGUUUAUUUUGCAGCUUUACAUUGCACUUGGCAACUUUAGAGAACUAAUGUACGUAGAAUCGCUCAUACGCUCCUCUCAGAGCGCCGUACUCGAUGCCUAUCUACAGUCCGCUUGCUUUCUUUGUGCCUGAAAUAGCAGUAAGCUUAAAUGAUUAACCUGCUGAUGACAAGACAAUGAAACACUUUGCUUUUACUGUUUUACUGUAAUAAGAGCAUUUCAUCUGUGGUGUAAGAUUAAAUAGAAAUUAUAUACAUACUAUAUAUUUGAUAUUGUCAAAUCUGUUUGCUGAAAUAAAAGUCUUUAAUUUCCUCCAUUGUACGACACUUGAUACCACACACACACACACACACACACACGCACGCACAUUGACGCAAGUUACAACGGAUGGCUUCGUCACUGCAAUGAUGACAAUCCUGACCGUCUGGCGCUCGUUAAUCUCUGCACGGAAAGACUCGCUUUCAGUGCCGGUCCUGCCCCAUUCGGUGCCCUAGGCGAGAUUCAUCCUCACUACCGCUUUUGUAGCUGAAUGAACACGCAUCCCUCACAGCCACACUCCAAAAUCUACUGGAAAGCCUUCCCAGAAGAGUGGAGCACUUUUAUAACUGGGCUAAAUCUGGAACCGGAUGUGAUGGUCACGUGUCCACAUACUUUUGGCCAUUUGAUGUUGCUGUGUCGGCUCCGGACAUAUUUGAACCGUUUAUAAAUAUGGGCAAAUGUUGGGUUUUUAGUUGAAUUAGCUCAAAUGUGCACAGACAAUAAAGAAAUCUGACCUAGAAUUGUGUUCCUUUAGUUUGUGGCUAUAAAAACAGCUACACACCUGGAACCGAAAUGAUUAUGGGUAAGCCAAAACUUCUUCAUGUUAUCACCUUAUAGCUGUAGUGCAACACUAAAUAAAUAAAUUCCAACAACCAACAUGUCUUGGCUGAUUGUGUAAAUUUGGUGACGAGGGUUAUAUUGUGUACCUGUGUACAUUGUCAAUUUUAUGCUAAACCACAGUUUAGCAACAAACAAGUACUGUUCAAAUUUUUAAGGUUUUUUUGUUUUUGCAAGUUAUUAUCAAGGGAAAAAAUAUCAAACUGGGGCAUCAUUUUUUUUUUUUUUUUUUUUUUUUAAACAUUUAUUAUUUAUUUAUUUAUUUAUUUAUUUAUUUACAUUUUUAACUUUGAUGCCAUUGAAAUACAACAGAACCCAUUUUGCAGCGAUCAGAGUAGGACUGUGGUUACAUUUGCUUCCUGAGGUGAAGAAAAGUUUUGAGGAACAACUCGUUUCUGAUAAAGAAAGGUUGAGACAAAAGCUUAAAUGGUAUUUUCGAGUUUAUUUUUAUUAAAAGAACACAAGAACUGUUGACUUUUCUGGUGUACAGGGACAUGCUUCUUCCAUUAACAGGGCCCUCUCUGGGCCCCAGAGGUGCUCAUGUAUGUUUGUUGUUGUUGUUGUUGUUGUUGUUUUUCUAAAUGUAACAAAUAUUAUAAACAAAUCAGAACAAUCUUUGCGUACCGAGAGUAAUCGGACCUGAGACGACAGUCGUAAUCGGAGACGUGGGUGGGGUUAAAUAUAUUUACACAGGUUUAGGAGCGGACAACGAAGGGGCUGCUUCCUCUUGCUCUCAGACACUCGGUACACUCUCGCACACAUCUAGCCUGAUUUAAGACAUUCACAGAGUUGAGGGUCUUCCUUUUGGUAAAGAGGGAUCUGGAGGUUUCGAUAUUUAUGUGAACUUCUUGAUCUCGUCAUAGAGGACAAGCACGAAAGCACCGCCCAUUCCUCUCAGCACAUUCGACCAGGCGCCCUUGAAGAAGGCCUUCGGUCCUUCAUCCUUGAUGAUCUUCUUCCAGCAGUCGAUUGUGCCCUUGUACAUGAUGUCAGCUGGGGAAGGGAAGGGGAACGGACAUGUUUAUCGAAACAUCAAUCACACAACGUAUUGUUCGUUAUGCGUGAUCACAGUUUUAGGCUUUGCGACAUCAAGAUCUUUAUAGUCCUUGCUGCAGAACCAAAAGUCCAGGGGAUGGACCUAAUGACCUGACCUAAUACAUAUAACCUUAACCAUAACGUACAAUACAGAACACACUUAACUCCAUUCUUAUCCAGUUUAAAGCAUACUGAGUUGUCUCCACCCCCUGGACGUUUCUGCAUUGAGAGGUCCUUGGAAUUUUUAACCCUAUUGAGUGCUAUGAUCAUACGUGACAAGCUUCGAUGUUCCAGAGUUUCUGUAUGGUGUCACGGUAUUUACACACAAGUUUCAACCAUGAGCAUGAAGGGUACACCAUUGAGUCCCUAAAAGACUGCGGAGACUUUUACGAGUAAGCUCUGCUUACCUCCUUUGCGUCCUGACUGCAUCAUCAUACGACGUCUGACAGUGUCGAAGGGAUAGGAGAUGAUGCCAGCCACAGCAGUGACGGUCUGGGCAAUCAUCCAGCUGAUGACGAUGUGCGUGUUCUUGGGGUCUGGCAGUUGCCCAAGCCGGUAAACUCUCUCUCGGCAGUACCUUUGCCGAUAUCGGCAGCCAACCGGGUCCUAGCGAAGUCCAGUGGGUACACGAAACAGAGUGACGUAGCACCGGCGGCACCACCUGAUGCCAGGUUUCCAGCGAAGUAGCGCCAGAACUGGGUGUGCUUAUCGACACCGCCAAGGAAGAUCUUCUUGUACUUGUCUUUGAAGGCGAAGUUGAGAGCCUGAGUCGGGAAGUAUCGGAUCACGUUGGCCAAGUUUCCACGCCAGAAACUGAGGAAGCCCUGCUCCUUGGGAAUCCUCACCACGCAGUCUAUGAUGCCUUUGUACUGCAUAUCAACUGUGAUCUGUUUGCUGGCAUGCUGGACCUGGAGGAGGACCAAUUGGUGUUAGUUCACUCCAAGUGAAAUUUAUUCUCCUCAGAUACAUGCGUCUCUGCUGUCUGAUCUUAACAAAUCUCUGGCCUUUCACUACAUCUUUUGAUUCCAAACCAGAUUUCUACGUCUGUCGGGUUGGAUCAGUUACCUAAUUAGUUGGAUUGGAUGUGUCGGAGCAGGAAAACCAGACUCUGACACCAGGUUCAUGGGGGAAUACUUAGUGGUAAAAUUCUCAGUUCUGUGCUAGAAGGUGGCACAGAUGGCACAGUAUGACUAGAAGGUUGUGAGUUCAGAACCGUGGUUGGACCCUUGAGAAAGGGUAUUAACCUUCAGCUAUAUCCUCAAAUAUGUGGCUUUUGACAUGUUACAUUCUUGACCUGCCAUGGACAGUUGAGUUCCAUGGUUUCCAUCAUCUUUUAAUCUCUCAGUUGUUCAUUCGACUUGGCUCCAGUAUAGAUAUUUCACCUUUCUUCCGGGAAAGAUUGGUCUGACCAUGUGCACCAGCCGCAUUGAGGAUUACACCCAUGUGAGGUGGUGUGAGUAUUGGGUUGCAAACCCCAGGCUAUAUUUAGCACUAAACUCACGCCAAGUAUCGUCACUUUAUGCAACCACGUUUUUACCAACCCCUAUGUCCACGCCGUGCUUCUUAAUAACUCAGUCACCAGAAGUUGAAAUUGGAUUAACAUGAUCAGGUAAUUGUCCACUAAUAUCAGCCUAAACUUCCUGCAAUGUCAAAGGACAGUGAACCUUUUGCAGAAGACUUGCGCAAAAAAAAAAAAAAAGCCUUGCAGCGAACACCAUCUCCGACAGUCCCAACUGAUGAUACCAUGAAAAAGAAGUGCUAUAAGUAAUUAGGUAUACCAAAGACUAGAGAGAAUCCGCAAGGUGAAAACCAAGGUUGGUGGAAAGAUCCAGGCCAGGGGUCACGGCCCCAAGGGGCGAGACAAAUUCCAGGAACGAUAAGAAAGAAGGGUACUACGACGUGCACACUUUAAGAGUCUGAAGAAGUAACCACUCUGGCAAAUAUAGAUGAAUGAACUUAUCAAGUGUAUUGAAUUAUGUGUAAUUUGUAGGCUCAUAAGUUACAGUAAAAAAAAAAAGUCACUCUUUGGAUAGUAAUCAGUUCAUUCCAGCUUUGUAAAAGGGUUCUGAAAGGGAAGCCCUCUGUUACCGGGUUCUAUGCAGAAUUUUAAGGGUUCCUCCACCUGGAUUAACCCUUCAGAAGAACCCUUUAGACUGGUGGAUGGAUUUAGUUUUUUCGCCCAACAUCUUUUUGGAUCCAAAUAAAUAUUACGCCUGUCAAUUAAUAAUUAAAUUGAUUACAUCAUAUCGUAAUAUUAAAUAAUGAUUAAAAAAACGUUGUUCAUUUCGAAGGUAAUUGGGAUAAAUUUGCGCGCGCGCACACACUGAGUUACCUGCAGGAGCAGUUUGACCCUCUCGAUGGGCGCGACGGCUGUUUUGGAGAUAGCCGCAGCCACUCCACCUGCCAGGAAAUCCUUCAAAAAGCUGAUGACCGCCUCAGACAUGGUGCCGGUGCGUGCGUGCGUGUCUGCCUGUCUGUCUGCCUGUCUGUCUGUCUGUCUGUCUUGCGCGCACUUACAACUCUCGACACGCCGCUGGACCCUCAAAGUGGACGAGCACGCGGGCCUGUGCGUGCCUCAUAUAGCCGUGUACCUAUCGCGAGAAGAGCGGG